rnacentral:rRNA from 1 species
AGCGAACGCUGGCGGCAGGCCUAACACAUGCAAGUCGAACGAACCUUUCGGGGUUAGUGGCGGACGGGUGAGUAACACGUGGGAACGUGCCUUUAGGUUCGGAAUAACUCAGGGAAACUUGUGCUAAUACCGAAUGUGCCCUUCGGGGGAAAGAUUUAUCGCCUUUAGAGCGGCCCGCGUCUGAUUAGCUAGUUGGUUGAGGUAAUGGCUCACCAAGGCGACGAUCAGUAGCUGGUCUGAGAGGAUGAUCAGCCACAUUGGGACUGAGACACGGCCCAAACUCCUACGGGAGGCAGCAGUGGGGAAUCUUGCGCAAUGGGCGAAAGCCUGACGAAGCCAUGCCGCGUGAAUGAUGAAGGUCUUAGGAUUGUAAAAGUCUUUCACCGGGGACGAUAAUGACGGUACCCGGAGAAGAAGCCCCGGCUAACUUCGUG